AGUGAACGCUGGCGGUAGGCCUAACACAUGCAAGUCGAACGGCAGCACAGUAAGAGCUUGCUCUUACGGGUGGCGAGUGGCGGACGAGUGAGGAAUACAUCGGAAUCUACUUUUUCGUGGGGGAUAACGUAGGGAAACUUACGCUAAUACCGCAUACGACCUACGGGUGAAAGCAGGGGAUCUUCGGACCUUGCGCGAUUGAAUGAGCCGAUGUCGGAUUAGCUAGUUGGCGGGGUAAAGGCCCACCAAGGCGACGAUCCGUAGCUGGUCUGAGAGGAUGAUCAGCCACACUGGAACUGAGACACGGUCCAGACUCCUACGGGAGGCAGCAGUGGGGAAUAUUGGACAAUGGGCGCAAGCCUGAUCCGGCCAUACCGCGUGGGUGAAGAAGGCCUUCGGGUUGUAAAGCCCUUUUGUUGGGAAAGAAAAGCAGCAGGUUAAUACCCCGCUGUUCUGACGGUACCCAAAGAAUAAGCACCGGCUAACUUCGUG
rnacentral:rRNA from 1 species